GAGACAACCAUUUUUUCGGAAGAAUCAGCAAAUAUACAAUAAGAAGAACCAACUGGCAUUGGUUCAGGAUCCGACUGAAAUCCGUCCUUCGUAUAAUACAAAUCAGGCUUACAUAUCUUUCCAACCCAAGUACCCGAGCUUGAGCAAUAUUGAUUAUUAAAAAUAACAUAAUCUGGAUUCUUAGCAUGAAAGUGAAAUGGAAGCUGAGUUAUUGAGAUAGGGUGGUCAAUGGUGAAAUAAUCCCAGUUUUCUCCAUUGUCAUAAGAAUAAUAUACAGUAUCGCACUCAGUCAAAGCAAAGACUCUGGAAUUUUCAAAAGAAUGUUUAAUAAGUUUUUUAAUGGGACAAACUUGACCCGAAAUUACUCCAUUUCGCCAACUUUGCCCAUUAUCUUGGGACAAAUAGACGUCACCAAAUUCAGCAUUUAGAAAAAGAGUAUUCUGUACGAGAUUAUUAGUAAAAAUAUCAACAUUGACUUACCGUUGAAUCUUUGAAUGUCAUAAAAUCGACAGGUUUGCUGUCAAACACUGUUUCAGCAACUUCAGCUGCUGGAGAGGCGAUGCAUCCUGUGAUUAAUGAUACAAUUAGUAGUAAACAGCCAAACAUUGGAAAAAUGCGACCCCGAAGAGGAAGGAUCUUUGUCAAAAAAAACAUAAUUCCUCAACUUCGUUGCUUUUGGCAAUGUUCGAAUGGUGAAAUCGUCAACUUCCCCAUCAGCAUUGCUUAAUGCGCCUCAACGCAAAUGACUCAAAAACUUCAAUAACGAAAUACGCAUUCGGAUCUCUUAAGUGUUUGUAUCGAUAUUAAAAUCCUGUCCCCUGAAAGUUAAGUACACUGAAGAACUAGCUACUGAGUAAUGUUAUUAUCACGGUUCUUCUUAGUUAAUAAUGAAGCUACAACUAUUUGCAUAGUAAAUCAAUUUUAUCAAAUUUAAAAAGGUGACAAUGAUCACAGCAUUCUUUGUAGAAUCGAUUACUUUGUCAAAAUAUAAUUUAUUCCUACAUUCAAGACAACAUUUUCUUAAUGAACUACUAAGCUGCCUUAUUUUGUAUGCUGAUAACGUCCAAAAAGGCGUAAAGAAACACAAUUUCAAUUUUUAACUGCUAAGAAAUUCAUGGCAUACACAACGAAUGCUAAUACUACUCUAUAGCCUUGGCAAUGAAAUGUAAGUAAACAAAUGGUGACUUCAA